CCUGUCCCUGUCCCUGUCCCUGUCCCUGUCCCUGUCCCUGUCCCCAUCCCGGGAGGGCCCAGCGGGGGUUGCUGCAGUGGCAGCGCCGCUCCCGGAGAAUUCCCGGAGAAUUCCCAGAGAAUUCCGUGCCACAGCCGGCUGGGCCAGCAGGCUUAGAGGACAAUUUGGGGACAAUCCGGGGACAAUUUGGGGACAAUUCGGGGAUUGGACAGAGGGGACAGAGAGGGAUGGAAAUGGGGACGUGGCACCAGGGGAGGGGACAGUGAGGGGACCAGAGAGAGGGGACAGAGAGGGACAGGAGAGGGAGAUGUGGCACCGGGAUGAGGGGACCAUGAGGGGACCAGAGAGAGGGGACAGAUGUGACAGAGACGGGGACGUGGCACUGGGUUCAGGGGACACUUCAGGGUCCAGAUGGAGAUGACAGAGAGGGACAGCAUGGGGACGUGGCACUGAGCUUAGGGGACAGAGAGGGACAGACACGGGGAUGUGGCACCGGGACUAGGGGACAAUUCAUGGUCCACACAGACGUGACAGGAUGGGGACGUGGCACCAGGUUCAAGGGACAAUGAGGAGACCUCACAGAGGUGACAGAGACGGGACGUGGCACCGGGAUUAGGGGACAGUGAGGGGACAAGGGACAGGAAGGGACAACAGAGGGAGAUGUGGCACCGGGAUUAGGGACAAUUCAGGGACCAGAGAGAGGUGACAGAGAGGGACAGGGUGGGGACGUGGCAGCGGGUGUAGGGGACAGUGAGGGACCACGCAGAGGGGACACAAGGUGGGGAUGUGGCACCGGGAUUAGGGACAAUUCAGGGACCAGAGGGGUGACAGGAAUUGGGAUGUGGCACCAGGGGAGGGGACAAUUCAGGGACCAGAUGGAGGUGACAGAGAUGGGGACGUGACACUGGGUUUAGGGGACAAUGAAGGACCACGCAGAGGAGACACAAGGUGGAGAUGUGGCACCGGGUGUAGGGGACAGUGAGGGAAUCACACAGAGGUGACAGAGAGGGACAGGAUGGGGAUGUGGCACUGGGCGUAGGGGACAGUGAGGGGACCAGGGAGAGGUGACAGAGACGGGACGUGGCAGUGGGUGAAGGGGACAAUGAGGGGACAAGGCACAAGGGACAGGAAGGGACAAGAGAGGAAGAUGUGGCACCGGGAUUAGGGGACAAUUCAGGGACCAGAGAGAGGUGACAGAGAGGGACAGACAUAGGGAUGUGACACCGGGUAUCGGGGACAAUUCAGGGACCACGCAGAGGGGACACAAGGUGGGGAUGUGACACCGGGUUUAGGGGACAAUUCAGGGACCUGAUGGAGGUGACAGAGAUGGGGACAUGGCACUGGCUUUAGGGGACAAUGAGGGGACCAGAGAGAGGGGACAGAGAGGGACAGACAUAGGGAUGUGACACCGGGUAUAGGGGACAAUUCAGGGACCACGCAGAGGGGACACAAGGUGGGGAUGUGGCACUAGCUUUAGGGGACAGUGAGGGGACCAGACAGAGGUGACAGAGAGGGACAGGAUGGGGACGUGGCACUGGCUUCAGGGGACAAUUCAGGGACCAGAGAGAGGGGACAGAGAGGGACAACAGAGGGAGAUGUGGCACCGGGAUGAGGGGACAAUCCAGGGACCACAGAGAGGUGACAGGAUGGGGACGUGGCACCGGGUGUAGGGGACAGUGAGGGGACCAGGGAGAGGUGACAGAGGUGACAGAAAUGGGGAUGUGGCACCGGGAUUAGGGGACCAUGAGGGGACCAGAGAGAGAGGGACAGGAUGGGGACGUGGCACGGGGGUUAAGGGACAAUGAGGGACCACAGAGAGGUGACAGAGAUGGGGAUGUGGCCCCAGGUUUAGGGGACAAUGAGGGGACCACACAGGUGACAGAGGGACAACAGAGGGAGAUGUGGCACCAGGAUUAGGGGACCAUGGGGGGACCAGAGAGAGAGGGACAGGAUGGGGAUGUGACACCGGGUGUAGGGGACAGUGAGGGGACCAGGGAGAGGGGACACAAGGUGGGGAUGUGACACUGGGUUUAGGGGACAAUUCAGGGACCAGAGGGGUGACAGGAAUUGGGAUGUGGCACCAGGGGAGGGGACAAUUCAGGGACCAGAUGGAGGUGACAGAGAUGGGGACGUGACACUGGGUUUAGGGGACAAUGAGGGACCACGCAGAGGGGACACAAGGUGGAGAUGUGGCACCGGGUGUAGGGGACAAUUCAGGGACCAGAGAGAGGUGACAGAGAGGGACAGGAUGGGGAUGUGGCACUGGGCGUAGGGGACAGUGAGGGGACCAGGGAGAGGUGACAGAGACGGGACGUGGCAGUGGGUGAAGGGGACAAUGAGGGGACGAGGCACAAGGGACAGGAAGGGACAAGAGAGGAAGAUGUGGCACCGGGAUUAGGGGACAAUUCAGGGACCAGAGAGAGGUGACAGAGAGGGACAGACAUAGGGAUGUGACACCGGGUAUCGGGGACAAUUCAGGGACCACGCAGAGGGGACACAAGGUGGGGAUGUGACACUGGCUUUAGGGGACAGUGAGGGGACCAGACAGAGGUGACAGAGAGGGACAGGAUGGGGACGUGGCACUGGCUUCAGGGGACAAUUCAGGGACCAGAGAGAGGUGACAGAGAGGGACAACAGAGGGAGAUGUGGCACCGGGAUGAGGGGACAAUCCAGGGACCACAGAGAGGUGACAGGAUGGGGAUGUGACACCGGGUGUAGGGGACAGUGAGGGGACCAGGGAGAGGUGACAGAGGUGACAGAAAUGGGGAUGUGGCACCGGGAUUAGGGGACAAUCCAGGGACCAGAGAGAGAGGGACAGGAUGGGGACGUGGCACUGGGUUUAAGGGACAAUCCAGGGACCAGAUGGAGGUGACAGAGAUGGGGAUGUGGCACCAGGGGAGGGGACAAUUCAGGGCCCACACAGAGGUGACAGAGGGACAACAGAGGGAGAUGUGGCACUGGGAUUAGGGGACCAUGGGGGGACCAGAGAGAGGUGACAGAGACGGGGAUGUGGCCCCAGGUUCAGGGGACAAUGAGGGGACCUGAUGGAGGUGACAGAGAUGGGGACGUGACACUGGGUUUAAGGGACAGUGAGGGACCACACAGAGGGGACACAAGGUGGAGAUGUGGCACUGGGUGUAGGGGACAAUUCAGGGACCACACAGAGGUGACAGAUGUGACAGAGAUGGGGAUGUGCACUGGGUUUAGGGGACAAUUCAGGGACCAGAGGGGUGACAGGAAUUGGGAUGUGGCACCAGGGGAGGGGACAAUUCAGGGACCAGAUGGAGGUGACAGAGAUGGGGACGUGACACUGGGUUUAGGGGACAAUGAAGGAUCACGCAGAGGGGACACAAGGUGGAGAUGUGGCACCGGGUGUAGGGGACAAUUCAGGGACCACAGAGAGGUGACAGAGAGGGACAGGAUGGGGAUGUGGCACCGGGUGUAGGGGACAGUGAGGGGACCAGGGAGAGGUGACAGAGACGGGACGUGGCAGUGGGUGAAGGGGACAAUGAGGGGACGAGGCACAAGGGACAGGAAGGGACAAGAGAGGGAGAUGUGGCACCGGGAUUAGGGGACAAUUGAGGGACCAGAGAGAGGGGACAGAGAGGGACAGGGUGGGGAUGUGACACCGGGUAUCGGGGACAAUUCAGGGACCACGCAGAGGGGACACAAGGUGGAGAUGUGGCACCGGGUGUAGGGGACAGUGAGGGGACCAGGGGGAGGUGACAGAGAUGAGGAUGUGACACCAGGAUUAGGGGACAAUUCGGGGACCUGAUGGAGGUGACAGAGACAGGGAUGUGGCACCAGGUGUAGGGGACAAUGAGGGGACCAGGCAGAGGUGACAGGAUGGGGAUGUGACACCGGGUAUGGGGGACAAUGAGGGACCACGCAGGUGACAGAGACAGGGACGUGGCACCAGGGGAGGGGACAAUUCAGGGACCACACAGAGGUGACAGAGGGAGAUGUGGCACCGGGAUUAGGGGACCAUGGGGGGACCAGAGAGGGGUGACAGAGACGGGGAUGUGGCCCCAGGUUCAGGGGACAAUGAGGGGACCAGAGAGAGGUGACAAAGAUGGGGACGUGGCACUGGGUUUAGGGGACAAUGAGGGACCACGCAGAGGGGACACAAGGUGGGGAUGUGGCACCGGGUGUAGGGGACAGUGAGGGAAUCACACAGAGGUGACAGAGAAGGGGAUGUCACCUCAGGUGUAGGGGACAAUGAAGGAACCAGACAGGGGUGACAGAGGUGACAGAGAUGAGGAUGUGACACCUGGAUUAGGGGACAAUUUAGGGACCACGCAGAGGGGACACAAGGUGGGGACGUGGCACCAGGGGAGGGGACAACGAGGGGACCAGAGAGAGGGACAGGAUGGGGACGUGGCACUGGGUGUAAAGGGACAAUGAGGGGACCAGACAGAGGUGACAGAGACGGGGACGUGGCCCCAGGGCAGGGGACAGCGAGGAAACCACACAGAGGUGACAAAGGUGACAGGGACAGGGACGUG